UACGGAGGGUGCGAGCGUUAAUCGGAAUCACUGGGCGUAAAGCGCACGUAGGCUGCUUGGUAAGUCAGGGGUGAAAGCCCGCGGCUCAACCGCGGAAUUGCCUUUGAUACUGCCGAGCUAGAGUCCGGGAGAGGGUAGUGGAAUUCCAGGUGUAGGAGUGAAAUCCGUAGAGAUCUGGAGGAACAUCAGUGGCGAAGGCGACUACCUGGACCGGUACUGACGCUGAGGUGCGAAAGCGUGGGGAGCAAAC
rnacentral:rRNA from 3 species